rnacentral:rRNA from 1 species
UGGGGAAUAUUGGGCAAUGGGCGAAAGCCUGACCCAGCGACGCCGCGUGGGUGAUGAAGGCCUUCGGGUUGUAAAGCCCUUUCGUGCGGAAAGAACAGCCCUGUAGCGAAUACCUACAGGGUUUGACGGUACCGCAGGAAGAAGCACCGGCUAACUCCGUGCCAGCAGCCGCGGUAAUACGGAGGGUGCAAGCGUUGUGCGGAAUUAUUGGGCGUAAAGGACGCGUAGGCGGUUGUGAUAGUCAGAUGUGAAAUCCUCUGGCUCAACUGGAGAACUGCAUCUGAAACUUCACAACUAGAGUACAGGAGAGGGAAACGGAAUUCCCGGUGUAGAGGUGAAAUUCGUAGAUAUCGGGAGGAACACCAGUGGCGAAGGCGGUUUCCUGGCCUGAUACUGACGCUGAGGCGUGAAAGCGUGGGGAGCAAACAGG